ACGACAACGGCCAGAAUAGAAUCAUUCAAAUAAACGAUUGUAAAGAAAGUUUGUAGACAAUUAUAGUCUACAAACUUUCUUUACAAUCGUUUAUUUGAAUGAUUUUAUUCUGGCCGUUGUCGUUGCGUUGCCGU